AUUGAACGCUGGCGGCAGGCCUAACACAUGCAAGUCGAACGAGUGGCGGACGGGUGAGUAAUGUCUGGGAAACUGCCCGAUGGAGGGGGGUAACUACUGGAAACGGUAGCUAAUACCGCAUACCAUCGGAUGUGCCCAUAUGGGAUUAGCUAGUAGGUGGGGUAAAGGCUCACCUAGGCGACGAUCCCUAGCUGGUCUGAGAGGAGGAUCAGCCACACUGGAACUGAGACACGGCCCAGACUCCUACGGGAGGCAGCAGGGGGGAAUAUUGCACAAUGGGCGCAAUCCUGAUGCAGCCAUGCCGCGUGUAUGAAGAAGGCCUUAGGGUUGUAAAGUACUUUCAGCGAGGAGGCGUUACCCGCAGAAGAAGCACCGGCUAACUCCGUGCCAGCAGCCGCGGUAAUAC
rnacentral:rRNA from 1 species